UUUUUUUUUUAAAUAAAACCCCAGAUUAUUGCUUCAAAACACAAGUAAAUGUGGAAAUACAUGUAUAACUAACUUCUACUCUAAGCUGAUGGAUAUCAUGAGGAGAGUGAUAGAUUCCAAGUCAAAUCAACUA